rnacentral:rRNA from 1 species
AUUGAACGCUGGCGGCAUGCCUUACACAUGCAAGUCGAACGGCAGCGGACCUUCGGGUGCCGGCGAGUGGCGAACGGGUGAGUAAUAUAUCGGAACGUACCUUUCAGUGGGGGAUAACGUAGCGAAAGUUACGCUAAUACCGCAUAUUCUGUGAGCAGGAAAGCAGGGGAUCGCAAGACCUUGCGCUGAUUGAGCGGCCGAUAUCAGAUUAGCUAGUUGGUGAGGUAAAGGCUCACCAAGGCGACGAUCUGUAGCGGGUCUGAGAGGAUGAUCCGCCACACUGGAACUGAGACACGGUCCAGACUCCUACGGGAGGCAGCAGUGGGGAAUUUUGGACAAUGGGCGCAAGCCUGAUCCAGCCAUGCCGCGUGAGUGAAGAAGGCCUCGGUGUAAGUAC